UCUGAGCAGCUCCUAUCCUAGCAACUUCACUGCCUUCCCUGGUUCCUGACCCUGCCUUCAGCUUGCUCCUGGAUUUCAGCCUUCAAAUUCUCAAUGAAAAUAUUUCAUGCCUCCUAAACCCAGCUUGACUUACUCUUGGACUUUGUCCUGUGGAUUAUCCUUUGGACUUGGGCCAACAUCUGGCUGUGGAGGAGAGGCCACAGGGGACUAAAGGACCACUGCCACAGGCUUGCUGCCACUCUGCACUGGAGCUGCCUCUGGGUGCCAGAUGCACCAGCAACACAGCUAGGAUGGGACCUGCCUGCUUCUGUGGUUGUUUGAAUUCUUCUCUUCUUGUUUCUUGUUGACAAUCUCACAACUCGGACAAACACAUAGUCCUGUAUCUAUCAAGAUUAAGAUCGGCAACAUAACAAGACUAGUUUCCAGCUAUCUGCCUC